GACCUCGUGGCGCAAUGGCAGCGCGUCUGACUCCAGAUCAGAAGGCUGGGUGUUCGAGUCACUCCGGGGUCA
rnacentral:tRNA from 1 species